UCAAAAACAUGUCUUUUAGAUUAUAAUGAAAGGUUUGGCCUGCCCGCUGAAAUUUGAAUGGCCGCGGUACUUUGACCGUGCUAAGGUAGCAUAAUAAUUAGUUUAUUAAUUGUGAACUGGAAUGAAGGGCUGGAUGAAAAGAUAUCUGUCUCUUUUUGAUUGUUAGAAUUUUAUUUUUUAGUGAAAAAGCUUAAAUGUUUUAAUAGGACGAGAAGACCCUAUAGAGUUUUAUAUUUUUAUUUUUUUUGUUUAUUAGGGAUAAAUUAUAGUAAUUUUUAAAAAUAUUUGAUUGGGGCGAUCUAUAAAUUUAUUUAACUUUUUAGGAUUAUUGACAUUAAUAAAUGUUUAUUUGAUCCGUUUUUAUACGAUUAUAAGAUUAAAUUACCUUAGGGAUAACAGCGUGAUUUUUUCUGAGAGUUCAAAUCGACGAGAAAGAUUGCGACCUCGAUGUUGGAUUAAAAGUUAUUUUCUGGUGUAGAAGCUAGAAGUUAAGGUCUGUUCGACCUAUAAAUUUUUACAUGAUCUGA
rnacentral:rRNA from 1 species